GACCGCACGGGUGGCCUAGUGGUUUGAGCGUCCGCCUUGGAUGUGGGAGGUCGUGGGUUCUAUUCCCGGCCAAGUCA